rfam:Capsella rubella cultivar Monte Gargano unplaced genomic scaffold scaffold_4, whole genome shotgun sequence.
AACCAAUGGUGUGGGCAUUGAGAUUGGUAUCCCUUGAUUCGUUGCCAUGCUUCACACAACGACUCGAUGUUCUUCUGGGCAAAGCUUGAGAUUUCAUUCCUAAGACG